rnacentral:rRNA from 1 species
GAUGAACGCUGGCGGCGUGCCUAAUACAUGCAAGUCGAGCGAACGGACGAGAAGCUUGCUUCUCUGAUGUUAGCGGCGGACGGGUGAGUAACACGUGGAUAACCUACCUAUAAGACUGGGAUAACUUCGGGAAACCGGAGCUAAUACCGGAUGAUAUUUUGAACCGCAUGGUUCAAAAGUGAAAGACGGUCUUGCUGUCACUUAUAGAUGGAUCCGCGCUGCAUUAGCUAGUUGGUAAGGUAACGGCUUACCAAGGCAACGAUGCAUAGCCGACCUGAGAGGGUGAUCGGCCACACUGGAACUGAGACACGGUCCAGACUCCUACGGGAGGCAGCAGUAGGGAAUCUUCCGCAAUGGGCGAAAGCCUGACGCAGCAACGCCGCGUGAGUGAUGAAGGUCUUCGGAUCGUAAAACUCUGUUAUUAGGGAAGAACAUAUGUGUAAGUAACUGUGCACAUCUUGACGGUACCUAAUCAGAAAGCCACGGCUAACUACGUG